rnacentral:snRNA from 1 species
GGAUGUGAGGGUGAUCUGGCUGCGACAUCUGCCACCCCAUUGAUCGCCAGGGUUGAUUCGGCUGAUCUGGCUGGCUACGCGGGUGUCCCCUUCCUCCCUCACCACUCCACGUGCAUCCCUCCCAAAGCUGCGCGCUCGGUCGAAGAGGAUGACCUUCCCCGAUAGAGGCGUACCGUUCAUCGGUCCAAGGGUAUAUGGUAGCUGUGCUCCCCUGCUAGAACCUCCAAACAAGCUCAAGGUCCAUUUGUAGGAGAAUGUAGGGCAGUCAAGCUUCCAAGACUGCAGACACAUCCAAGUGAGGCACUGCAUGGGUUU